rnacentral:rRNA from 2 species
ACCUGACUGCUAUCGGAUUGAUACUAAGCCAUGCGAGUCAUUGUAGCAAUACAAGGCAGACGGCUCAGUAACACGUAGUCAAUCUAACCUAUGGACGGGGAUAACCUCGGGAAACUGAGAAUAAUAUCCGAUAGGCCACUAUGCCUGGAAUGGUUUGUGGCCCAAAUGAUUUAUCGCCGUAGGAUGGGACUGCGGUCUAUCAGCUUGUUGGUGAGGUAAUGGCCCACCAAGGCUAUAACAGAUACGGGCUCUGAGAGGAGAGGCCCGGAGAUGGGUACUGAGACACGGACCCAGGCCCUAUGGGGCGCAGCAGGCGAGAAAACUUUGCAAUGUGCGAAAGCACGACAAGGUUAAUCCGAGUGUUUUCUGCUAAAGAAAUCUUUUACCGGUCUUAAAACCACCGGCGAAUAAGGGGUGGGCAAGUUCUGGUGUCAGCCGCCGCGGUAAAACCAGCACCUCAAGUGGUCAGGAGGAUUAUUGGGCCUAAAGCAUCCGUAGCCUGCCGUGUAAGUUUUCGGUUAAAUCUAUGCGCUCAACGCAUAGGCUGCCGGAAAUACUGCACGGCUAGGGAGUGGGAGAGGUAGACGGUACUCAGUAGGAAGGGGUAAAAUCCUUUGAUCUAUUGAUGACCCCCUGUGGCGAAGGCGGUCUACUAGAACACGUCCGACGGUGAGGGAUGAAAGCUGGGGGAGCAAACCGGAUUAGAUACCCGGGUAGUCCCAGCUGUAAACAAUGCAAACUCGGUGAUGCAUUGGCGUAAGAGCCAGUGCAGUGCCGCAGGGAAGCCGUUAAGUUUGCCGCCUGGGAAGUACGUACGCAAGUAUGAAACUUAAAGGAAUUGGCGGGGGAGCACCACAAGGGGUGAAGCCUGCGGUUC